UUGGAGUUUGAUCUGGGUUCAGGAUGAACGCUAGCGAUAGGCCUAACACAUGCAAGUCGAGGGUAAACAGGGUAGCAAUACCGCUGACGACCGGCAAAUGGGUGAGUAACGCGUAUGCAACCUACCGAUAACAGUUGGAUAGCUCCNUGAAAGGGGAAUUAAACCGGCAUGAUACUAUUUAAUCGCCUGUUUAGAUAGUUAAAUAUUUAUAGGUUAUCGAUGGGCAUGCGUGACAUUAGCAAGUUGGUGAGGUAACGGCUCACCAAUGCUACGAUGUCUAGGGGUUCUGAGAGGAAGGUCCCCCACACUGGUACUGAGACACGGACCAGACUCCUACGGGAGGCAGCAGUGAGGAAUAUUGGUCAAUGGACGGAAGUCUGAACCAGCCACUUCGCGUGCAGGAUGACUGCCCUAUGGGUUGUAAACUGCUUUUAUAUAAGAGGAACAGUAUUUAUGUAUAGAUAUUUGCCAGUAUUAUAUGAAUAAGGAUCGGCUAACUCCGUGCCAGCAGCCGCGGUAAUACGGAGGAUCCGAGCGUUAUCCGGAUUUAUUGGGUUUAAAGGGUGAGUAGGCGGUAGUAUAAGUCAGCGGUGAAAACUUGCAGCUCAACUGUAAGCUUGCCGUUGAAACUGUAUUACUUGAGUUAAGUUGAGGUAUGCGGAAUGUGGUGUGUAGCGGUGAAAUGCAUAGAUAUACCACAGAACGUCGAUUGCGAAGGCAGCAUACUAAGUUUAUACUGACGCUGAUGCACGAAAGCGUGGGGAUCAAACAGGAUUAGAUACCCUGGUAGUCCACGCCGUAAACUAUGAUUACUCGUUGUUUGCGAUAUACUGUAAGCGACUGCGCGAAAGC
rnacentral:rRNA from 1 species